rnacentral:rRNA from 1 species
GACAGAGGGUGCAAACGUUGUUCGGAAUUACUGGGCGUAAAGCGCGUGUAGGCGGCUCGGCAAGUCGGGUGUGAAAGCCCUGGGCUCAACCCAGGAAGUGCAUUCGAAACUUCCGAGCUGGAGUCCUGGAGAGGAAGGCGUAAUUCUCGGUGUAGAGGUGAAAUUCGUAGAUAUCGAGAGGAACACCGGUGGCGAAGGCGGCCUUCUGGACAGUGACUGACGCUGAGACGCGAAAGCGUGGGGAGCAAACAGG